rnacentral:sRNA from 10 species
UUUACAAACUGCAAAUAAUCUGCCAAAAUACCUAAUCGCGUAGGUCUGAAAAAUUCAGACCCAUUCUUAAAUAAAAAAAGAAUGUCCAAGCGUG